rnacentral:lncRNA from 1 species
AAUGUAUCGUCUCUAUUUUCAAUAUUUGAACACACAAGGAAACUAUAAUCUCCUCCUUCACCUUAUCGAUCUCUUCCUUACAACAAUUCAGUAAUACCAAUAAUUACUAUUUCUAUCAAUAUAUUCACCCUCAUAAUCUCCAAUUGUAAUACUACGCCCUCACAACUUUCAUCACACAAUUACCCUCGUUCCAAUCAUUGGAAUUCUUCACACAGAACUGCCAUUCACAUUACAGUGUUUCAUACAAACACAGACUUAUUCUCUCUGCUGAACUACAAUCAGAUUUCAGCAUUCAAUCUUUCUUCUUCUCAAAUAAUACCAAUCACAUUUCCAUUCCAUAAUUCACUUCAUAAUAUUCAAAAACUCUCAAUCCUCUUAUUCAAAGAAAAUAACAAACAAAAGAAAAGAGGUAGUA